AUGCUGCAACGGUGCUCUACUCCGCCGGUGAGGAGAUGCAGAAAAGCUACAACCACCAAGCGGCGGUGCUGGAAUCGUGGUGUAGAAAAGCUGCAACCCCCAAGUCAAACAGUGGCAACGGCAAGGCUUUUCUUUUCUUUUGCUGCUGCCGGCGGCGAGGCGUUUUUGCUUGAGCCGGCACCUCAAAUGCACCCCGGCGUCGACUUUUGCUGGAACCAGCACCUGCGUUGGAGGGGCACGCGACGCCACCAGACUUGCUGGAACCGGCCGUCGGAAAACAGCGACGGAGGCGAGGGUGAGGUCCAGCUGACCUCCGAGAUGCUACAACCAUUCGUCGAAUAG
rnacentral:rRNA from 1 species